UUAAGCGACUAAGCGUACACGGUGGAUGCCCUGGCAGUCAGAGGCGAUGAAGGACGUGCUAAUCUGCGAUAAGCGUCGGUAAGGUGAUAUGAACCGUUAUAACCGGCGAUUUCCGAAUGGGGAAACCCAGUGUGAUUCGUCACACUAUCAUUAACUGAAUCCAUAGGUUAAUGAGGCGAACCGGGGGAACUGAAACAUCUAAGUACCCCGAGGAAAAGAAAUCAACCGAGAUUCCCCCAGUAGCGGCGAGCGAACGGGGAGCAGCCCAGAGCCUGAAUCAGUGUGUGUGUUAGUGGAAGCGUCUGGAAAGGCGCGCGAUACAGGGUGACAGCCCCGUACACAAAAAUNNNNNNNNNNNNNNNNNNNNNNNNNNNNNNNNNNNNNNNNCACAUAUUGUGAGCUCGAUGAGUAGGGCGGGACACGUGGUAUCCUGUCUGAAUAUGGGGGGACCAUCCUCCAAGGCUAAAUACUCCUGACUGACCGAUAGUGAACCAGUACCGUGAGGGAAAGGCGAAAAGAACCCCGGCGAGGGGAGUGAAAAAGAACCUGAAACCGUGUACGUACAAGCAGUGGGAGCACGCUUAGGCGUGUGACUGCGUACCUUUUGUAUAAUGGGUCAGCGACUUAUAUUCUGUAGCAAGGUUAACCGAAUAGGGGAGCCGAAGGGAAACCGAGUCUUAACUGGGCGUUAAGUUGCAGGGUAUAGACCCGAAACCCGGUGAUCUAGCCAUGGGCAGGUUGAAGGUUGGGUAACACUAACUGGAGGACCGAACCGACUAAUGUUGAAAAAUUAGCGGAUGACUUGUGGCUGGGGGUGAAAGGCCAAUCAAACCGGGAGAUAGCUGGUUCUCCCCGAAAGCUAUUUAGGUAGCGCCUCGUGAAUUCAUCUCCGGGGGUAGAGCACUGUUUCGGCAAGGGGGUCAUCCCGACUUACCAACCCGAUGCAAACUGCGAAUACCGGAGAAUGUUAUCACGGGAGACACACGGCGGGUGCUAACGUCCGUCGUGAAGAGGGAAACAACCCAGACCGCCAGCUAAGGUCCCAAAGUCAUGGUUAAGUGGGAAACGAUGUGGGAAGGCCCAGACAGCCAGGAUGUUGGCUUAGAAGCAGCCAUCAUUUAAAGAAAGCGUAAUAGCUCACUGGUCGAGUCGGCCUGCGCGGAAGAUGUAACGGGGCUAAACCAUGCACCGAAGCUGCGGCAGCGACGCUUAUGCGUUGUUGGGUAGGGGAGCGUUCUGUAAGCCUGCGAAGGUGUGCUGUGAGGCAUGCUGGAGGUAUCAGAAGUGCGAAUGCUGACAUAAGUAACGAUAAAGCGGGUGAAAAGCCCGCUCGCCGGAAGACCAAGGGUUCCUGUCCAACGUUAAUCGGGGCAGGGUGAGUCGACCCCUAAGGCGAGGCCGAAAGGCGUAGUCGAUGGGAAACAGGUUAAUAUUCCUGUACUUGGUGUUACUGCGAAGGGGGGACGGAGAAGGCUAUGUUGGCCGGGCGACGGUUGUCCCGGUUUAAGCGUGUAGGCUGGUUUUCCAGGCAAAUCCGGAAAAUCAAGGCUGAGGCGUGAUGACGAGGCACUACGGUGCUGAAGCAACAAAUGCCCUGCUUCCAGGAAAAGCCUCUAAGCAUCAGGUAACAUCAAAUCGUACCCCAAACCGACACAGGUGGUCAGGUAGAGAAUACCAAGGCGCUUGAGAGAACUCGGGUGAAGGAACUAGGCAAAAUGGUGCCGUAACUUCGGGAGAAGGCACGCUGAUAUGUAGGUGAAGUCCCUUGCGGAUGGAGCUGAAAUCAGUCGAAGAUACCAGCUGGCUGCAACUGUUUAUUAAAAACACAGCACUGUGCAAACACGAAAGUGGACGUAUACGGUGUGACGCCUGCCCGGUGCCGGAAGGUUAAUUGAUGGGGUCAGCGCAAGCGAAGCUCUUGAUCGAAGCCCCGGUAAACGGCGGCCGUAACUAUAACGGUCCUAAGGUAGCGAAAUUCCUUGUCGGGUAAGUUCCGACCUGCACGAAUGGCGUAAUGAUGGCCAGGCUGUCUCCACCCGAGACUCAGUGAAAUUGAACUCGCUGUGAAGAUGCAGUGUACCCGCGGCAAGACGGAAAGACCCCGUGAACCUUUACUAUAGCUUGACACUGAACAUUGAGCCUUGAUGUGUAGGAUAGGUGGGAGGCUUUGAAGUGUGGACGCCAGUCUGCAUGGAGCCGGCCUUGAAAUACCACCCUUUAAUGUUUGAUGUUCUAACGUGGACCCGUGAUCCGGGUUGCGGACAGUGUCUGGUGGGUAGUUUGACUGGGGCGGUCUCCUCCUAAAGAGUAACGGAGGAGCACGAAGGUUGGCUAAUCCUGGUCGGACAUCAGGAGGUUAGUGCAAUGGCAUAAGCCAGCUUGACUGCGAGCGUGACGGCGCGAGCAGGUGCGAAAGCAGGUCAUAGUGAUCCGGUGGUUCUGAAUGGAAGGGCCAUCGCUCAACGGAUAAAAGGUACUCCGGGGAUAACAGGCUGAUACCGCCCAAGAGUUCAUAUCGACGGCGGUGUUUGGCACCUCGAUGUCGGCUCAUCACAUCCUGGGGCUGAAGUAGGUCCCAAGGGUAUGGCUGUUCGCCAUUUAAAGUGGUACGCGAGCUGGGUUUAGAACGUCGUGAGACAGUUCGGUCCCUAUCUGCCGUGGGCGCUGGAGAACUGAGGGGGGCUGCUCCUAGUACGAGAGGACCGGAGUGGACGCAUCACUGGUGUUCGGGUUGUCAUGCCAAUGGCACUGCCCGGUAGCUAAAUGCGGAAGAGAUAAGUGCUGAAAGCAUCUAAGCACGAAACUUGCCCCGAGAUGAGUUCUCCCUGACCCUUUAAGGGUCCUGAAGGAACGUUGAAGACGACGACGUUGAUAGGCCGGGUGUGUAAGCGCAGCGAUGCGUUGAGCUAACCGGUACUAAUGAACCGUGAGGCUUAACCUU
rnacentral:rRNA from 1 species